rnacentral:rRNA from 1 species
UUGACCUCGGAUUCAGGUAGG